rnacentral:lncRNA from 1 species
CGGCUCCUGGGAGGCACCCUGUGUGAACUCUGCCCAGAUCACUGUGUUGGUGGGUGCGGGACUGGUGCAUACCGAUGGCCUCCAGGAUGAGCGUGUAGGCGGCUGUGGUCUCCCGGUCCAGGCCCACCACGGUUCUCACAACGGCAUCGCGGUAACCCACGCUGAACUUCCCAUCCACGUUGCCACCUGUGGGUGAAGGAGAGGAAGCUUCCGGCUGGGAAACAGAGCUCCCGGCCAGGGGAAGCGGGGACUCUGCUCCUGAGCUGGGACCCGCGAUGUUCAGCCAGACCACCCGGAACUCGCGUGGCACGUCCUCCGACACGGACACAUUGUACACGGCCGGGAAGAAGGUGGGCGUCUCGUCGUUCACAUCCAGCACUGCGGGGCAGAAUGGGCGCCGGGGCUAGGCCUGGCUUCUGCCGCAGAAGACCCUGCUUCAGAGCAGCGUCUCCAGCACCAGACCAAGUAGGGAAUGAAUUCCCAAGGGAGUCACGGGCUCCAAGUGGCAUCUGUGUCAACACCUCCUGGCCAUAAGCCCAGGGCCCCCCAUGCCCACCGGGGCCAGGACCAGGCCCACCAGUGCUCCAGACCCUCCCGCUGUCCCUGUGCCCUGGGGGCUUAUUGCUGCUCAGCUGUCAAAGGGAGGAGAGAAAACCUUAGAACCUCUCUCCAGUACGCGCCUAACAACGACCAUGGCAACACGGACAAUCAUGACAACGAUGACGACAGUGACCAUUUACGAGCUUGUCCAGCGUGCCAAGCCCAUGCUGAGUGCUUCCCAUACAGGAUCACAUGCAGCCCUCUGAGCACCCUAGGAGGUGGGCAUUAUUAGACACACUGUGGAGCUGAGGAAGCGGGAGCUCAGAGCAGCUGAGUGACUUGUCCAAAGUCACACAGUGGCACAGUGGAGGGC